rnacentral:tRNA from 1 species
AUUUAAAUAGCUCAAAAAGAGCGUGGUUCUGAAGAAGCUAAGGUAGAGUAAUUCUUUUAAAUA